AGGAUUAACGCUGGCGGCGUGCCUAACACAUGCAAGUCGAACGAGGUAGCAAUACCUAGUGGCAGACGGGUGAGUAGCGCGUGGUCAACCUACCGUUGAGUGGGGGAUAACUAGCCGAAAGGUUAGCUAAUACCGCAUACGUCUCCGAGGGGCAUCCCUUGGUGAUAAAAGGAGCAAUCCGCUCGAUGACGGGACCGCGUCCCAUUAGCUAGUUGGUGGGGUAACGGCCUACCAAGGCAUCGAUGGGUAGCUGGUUUGAGAGAGCGACCAGCCACACUGGGACUGAGAUACGGCCCAGACUCCUACGGGAGGCAGCAGUGAGGAAUUUUCCGCAAUGGGCGAAAGCCUGACGGAGCGACGCCGCGUGUGGGAAGAAGGCCUUCGGGUCGUAAACCACUGUCGAAGGGGAAGAUAAUGACGGUACCCUUGGAGGAAGCCCGGCUAACUACGUGCCAGCAGCCGC
rnacentral:rRNA from 1 species